rnacentral:rRNA from 1 species
AGCGAACGCUGGCGGCAGGCUUAACACAUGCAAGUCGAGCGGACCUUUCGGGGUCAGCGGCGGACGGGUGAGUAACGCGUGGGAACGUGCCUUCCGGUUCGGAAUAACCCUGGGAAACUAGGGCUAAUACCGGAUACGCCCUUAUGGGGAAAGGUUUACUGCCGGAAGAUCGGCCCGCGUCUGAUUAGCUAGUUGGUGGGGUAACGGCCUACCAAGGCGACGAUCAGUAGCUGGUCUGAGAGGAUGAUCAGCCACACUGGGACUGAGACACGGCCCAGACUCCUACGGGAGGCAGCAGUGGGGAAUAUUGGGCAAUGGGCGCAAGCCUGAUCCAGCCAUGCCGCGUGAGUGAUGAAGGCCUUAGGGUUGUAAAGCUCUUUUAUCCGGGACGAUAAUGACGGUACCGGAGGAAUAAGCCCCGGCUAACUUCGUG